GUUGGAUGUUAGGAGGAAGAUUUUCCCCCAGAGGGUGGUGACGCACUGAACAGGUUGCCCAAGGAGGCUGUGGAUGCCCCAUCCCUGCAGGCAUUGAAGGCCAGGCUGGAUGUGGCUCUGGGCAGCCUGGGCUGCUGGUUGGCGACCCUGCGCAUAGCAGGGGGUUGAAACCAGAUGAUCAUUGUGGUCCUUUGCUACCCAGGCCAUUCUAUGAUUCUAUGAUUAGUGACAACUUGCUUUACUGAAGAGCUCAUUAUGCCCUCUCUUAAUUUUAACC
rnacentral:lncRNA from 1 species